GACCGCUUAAAUAGGAGUGACCUCCAGUUUGAGCGAGAAGUGGGAGAGAGAGCAGUCCCAGCUAUCGUGUGAACAUGUCUGAGCCUAUUAGAGUCCUGGUGACUGGCGCUGCUGGGCAGAUUGCCUAUUCCCUGCUGUUCAGCAUUGCUAAGGGAGAUGUCUUUGGCAAAGAUCAGCCCGUCAUCUUGCUCCUCUUGGACAUUACACCCAUGUUGCCAGUCCUGGAUGGCGUUGUCAUGGAGCUGCAGGACUGCGCCCUCCCACUUCUGAAAGGUAAACAUUUAAGGGUUGGACACUGU